rnacentral:piRNA from 1 species
UAAUAGCUCCUGGCUUUGUCUACUCUAA